GACGAACGCUGGCGGCGUGCUUAACACAUGCAAGUCGUACGGUAAGGCCCUUUCGGGGGUCCACGAGUGGCGAACGGGUGAGUAACACGUGAGUAACCUGCCCACAACUUUGGGAUAACGCUAGGAAACUGGUGCUAAUACUGGAUAUGUGCUCCUGCUGCAUGGUGGGGGUUGGAAAGCUCCGGCGGUUGUGGAUGGACUCGCGGCCUAUCAGCUUGUUGGUGGGGUAGUGGCCUACCAAGGCGGCGACGGGUAGCCGGCCUGAGAGGGUGACCGGCCACAUUGGGACUGAGAGACGGCCCAGACUCCUACGGGGGGGAGCAGUGGGGAAUAUUGCACAAUGGGCGCAAGCCUGAUGCAGCAACGCCGCGGGCGGGAUGACGGCCUUCGGGUUGUAAACCGCUUUCAGCAGGGACGAAGCUUUUUGUGACGGUACCUGCAGAAGAAGCACCGGCUAACUACGUG
rnacentral:rRNA from 1 species